rnacentral:lncRNA from 1 species
ACGGGGUCAAUGGGUGAUCAAUAAGACCCAUGGCCUAGGCUUGUGACCUCCAUUGCACGUUGGAGGGGUGCCUGCCUAAGGUCGGCCCAAGUGGUCGAGCCUACGUCAUAAUUUGUGGUAGAGGGGGCCUGCGUUCGCGCGGCCCCUGCCUAAUUUAGAGUUAAAUAUUUUCUUGUUGAUUGUGAUUGCAUUUCACUGCAGAAGAUGCUUGUUGAGAGUUUGUGCUGUAUAAUCUAUGUUUGGCAUGGUCCGUUUCUCUGAAAUUUGAUGCCUGUUUGAAAUUGGUUAUAUUUUGCAAAGCUGCUAUGCUCGAGAUGCCUUCUAAAGAAAUUUAUUUACUGGAGGACAGUACAACUGUUAAAAUGGCUUUGGCGAUAACCGAUAAGGGCACCCACCCACUUUUGGACUACUAAACAACUCUCUUAUGCAGGCGAGAUUCGAUUAGUUUUAGACUGUAUUGUUUGGUAUACAAUCUUAUUGAUCCCAACUUUUACCAAAUAACUCUCCAAGGUGAUAAAAACUAUUGAAGCCCGUUGUAGGAGCUUUUGUAUCAUGGGCUUUUGGUGCUAAUGUUAUUAUAAAGAGGGCUUUUGUAUCAUGGGCUUUUGGACACGUGGAAGUGGGUCGCAAGUAAAUGUUACUCUGGAGGUCUUGUAACUGCGCAAGUAUCAUGCCAUUACUGAAACUUCAGAAUAUGUCUUUGUUUCUAUUUAUCUUUGAACUCUGGUACAUUGUCCUCUAACGAGGUCAUAAUUUAUGUUUGAAGACGUUUUUAAAUCAAUAAUUGAGCUUUUGCCACUGUAUGCCCUCGUAAAUUAUAUGAUUCUAGAUAGCCUGUCAUGUUCAUUUCGCUAUAGAAACUUCCAGUUUAGAGAUUUCUUUCGCCAGGCCACGAGAGCAAUAAGUAGGACAUGCAUCACAAUGUUACACUGGCCAGUAUAUGUGAUACAGCUAAGUUAGUACAUGUAAAGUGGUAUUGUAUGUGGUUGUGGAAGUGCAAACUUUAGGUUUUUUAAUCGUCUCUUAGGUUUUAGAAUGCCACAAUUUUACUUUUCGACUUAGGAAGCAAUAAUGUACCUGUGUUUUAGUUUUACAAAGGAAAAAGUUCAGUUAGGGAUUUUAAGCUGCAGAAAUGUAAUAGAUAUUUAGAAAUUUAAUGCUUAAAAGAGUUGAUAGUUUGUGACUUGCAAAGUUUCUCUUCUGAUAUGUUGUAAAUAUACUAGCAUUUGAUCACUCUUGCGUUCCCUCUUUUGGGUAUUUCAGUCCUGCUCUCUCUUGUCGAUAAGCAGUGGCAGAACUAGGAUUUUAACUAAGGGGGUUUAGAAAUAAACAUACGAACACAAACCGAGGAGGUUCAACAUCUACUAUAUACAUAUAAAAAAUAAUUUUAAUCAUGUAUAAGUAGUAUAACUUUUCGUCGAAGGGGGUUAGAACCCCCUCGCAAAAAGGUAGCUCCGUCCUUGUCGUGAAGUAUAUGCAUUUUAGUCUUGCUUUCUAUUGUAGGUUUUGCUAUCAUGUCAUUCUAGUAGUGUUUGAGAAUUUCUAGUUUUGAGGUAGGAAUGAAAAAGGUAAAUAAAGACCUUCGCCAAAAGCGAGGGAUUCCUGGGCCUGAACGAAGGCAGAUAUUCUCGAAAAAAAAGGAUAUGGAAACAGGUACGAAGGUAAAAGCGAGUAAGACUGAGUAAUAACGAAGCCAACAGAGGUUAGAUUCGAAUCAAAUGUGUUAAAAGAAGUCACUACAUGUAUCGGAGAAUCAUGAAAUCAUGUCAAAAAGUAUGGGAUACUCAAAUUCUCUCAUUGUCAUCAAAGAAGGUGCGGUCGUCUUUCUUUUCAGCUAGUUGCAACUCUUUAAGAUAUUAAAAGAAUAGCUAGGUGUAUAAAAUAUUUUACGAUUACAUAGGUCGAAAAUGGCCAUACCCUUGAGGGGUGGGAUGUAGAGAACUUAUUCUAAUGUAAGCUACAUAUUCUUUUCUUUAAGUACUUGUUCAAAUGAGCUAAGACAAAUAAAUUAAAACGGACAAAAAUAUAUUUGCAUAGCCUAUGAACUUUUAGUUGAGCUCAAGGGUGUUUCAAAGAUAUCUUUUCCAUCAUCCUAAGAUAAGGUCGGAGUAAGAUAUACGUACAUCACUUAUCAAAUUCAGCUUGAAAGACAUCACUACUAUAUUAUUGUUGUUGUACCUUAAAAUAUUAAAAAUGAUAAAUAUAUUAAAGCAAAAUGAUACUCCCAAUUUUAAUUUAUGUGGUACUUUUACACCAGCGUCUAAGAGAAAAGUGGAGCAAAAGCAGUAGUAUUAAUAAUGUGCUGAGCUAACUGGAAAACAUACUUACCUGGACGGGGUCAAUGGGCGAUCAAUAAGACCCAUGGCCUAGGCUUGUGACUUCUAUUGCACUUUGGAGGGGUGCCUGCCUAAGGUCGGCCCAAGUGGUCGAGCCUACGUCAUAAUUUGUGGUAGAGGGGGCCUGCGUUCGCGCGGCCCCUACCUAAUUUAGUGUAAAAUUUUCUUGUUGAUUGUGAUUGCAUUUCACUGCAGAAGAUGCUUGUUGAGAGUUUGUGCUGUAUAAUCUAUGUUUGGCAUGGUCCGUUUCUCUGAAAUUUGAUGCCUGUUUGAAAUUGGUUAUAUUUUGCAAAGCUGCUAUGCUCGAGAUGCCUUCUAAAGAAAUUUAUUUACUGGAGGACAGUACAACUGUUAAAAUGGCUUUGGCGAUAACCGAUAAGGACACCCACCCACCUUUGGACUACUAAACAACUAUCUUAUGCAGGCGAGAUUCAAUUAGUUUUAGACUGUAUUGUUUGGUAUACAGUCUUAUUGAUCCCAACUUUUACCAAAUAACCCUCCAAGGUGAUAAAAACUAUUGAAGCCCGUUGUAGGAGCUUUUGUAUCAUGGGCUUUUGGUGCUAAUGUUAUUAUAAAGAGGGCUUUUGUAUCAUGGGCUUUUGGUGCAAAUGAUCGUUCAUGUUUGAACACGUGGAAGUGGGGCGCAAGUAAAUGUUACUCUGGAGGUCUUGUAACUGCGCAAGUAUCAUGCCAUUACUGAAACUUCAGAAUAUGUCUUUGUUUCUAUUUAUCUUUGAACUCUGGUACAUUGUCCUCUAACGAGGUCAUAAUUUAUGUUUGAAGACGUUUUUAAAUCAAUAAUUGAGCUUUUGCCACUGUAUGCCCUCGUAAAUUAUAUGAUUCUAGAUAGCCUGUCAUGUUCAUUUCGCUAUAGCAACUUCACGUUUAGAGAUUUCUGGUUUUGUUGUGUUAGUUUUAUUUUGUCUCUGGAAGCAAAAUUCGUGAAGCUAAAAGUCGUUGCAUCUUUCUGGCACUUUUAACAGGCGGACAGCCUGCGUCAACAAACAUUGCAACAAAUGCAUCGCAUACUGACGACCAGACAAUCUGCCCGUGCGCUUCUUGCAAUUAACGAGUACUUUUCCCGUCUUCGAGCUCUCAGUUCUCUUUGGCUCGCCAGGCCACGAGAGCAAUAAGUAGGACAUGCAUCACAAUGUUACACUGGCCAGUAUAUGUGAUACAGCUAAGUUAGUACAUGUAAAGUGGUAUUGUAUGUGCUUGUGGAAGUGCAAACUUUAGUUUUUUUAAUUGUCUCUUAGGUUUUAGAAUGCCACAAUUAUACUUUGUGACUUAGGAAGCAAUAAUGUACCUGUGUUUUAGUUUUACAAAGGAAAAAGUUCAGUUAGGGAUUUUAAGCUGCAGAAAUGUAAUAGAUAUUUAGAAAUUUAAUGCUUAAAAGAGUUGAUAGUUUGUGACUUGCAAAGUUUCUCUUCUGAUAUGUUGUAAAUAUACUAGCAUUUGAUCA